GGUUGGAUCAUUAACAAUUAUUAUUGAACUCUCCCCCCUUCACCGGGGCGGUAGGUUCUCUAACACUUGUGUGCACUGUUUAUUGUCUCUCGGCGUUCGAGGGUUGGGUAUGGGCUUUUACGGCCUUGACCUCUACCCCGAGCGUCAACUUAAACUUGAUUUUAUUUAUACUAUAAGCCUUUAAUUUUAAAUUUAUAAUUUGAAAACAACUUUUAACAACGGAUCUCUAGGCUCUCACAACGAUGAAGAACGCAGCGAAAUGCGAUAAGUAAUGUGAAUUGCAGAAUUCCGUGAAUCAUUAAAUCUUUGAACGCACAUUGCGCUCUCUGGUAUUCCUCAGAGCAUGUCUGUUUGAGAAUCAGUUUAAUUUAUCACCCUGCUGUCGAUGGUCCAAUGGAUAACCGAUGGCAGAGUGGAUUUGGGAUGCAAGGGGUUAACCCCUUCAACCUUUGAAACAUUAGUUGCUCUUUUUGACCUUUGAUCAGAAAGGUACUAGCCGAAGGCAUGACCAAUGAACGCAAGUUCUUUUAGUGCUGACAACGCUUGUCUUUUCAGUUGAGGAGGUCGUCUCGCAAGAGAGAAAGGGUGCUUUAUAAAACCCAAUCCGAGGUGGACAGUUGCUCGUCCACUUUAAGACUUGAUCUCAAAUCAGAUAAGACUACCCGCUGAACUUAAGCAUAUCAAUAAGCGGAGGAAAAGAAACUAACAAGGAUUCCACUAGUAACGGCGAGUGAAGCGGGAAUAGCUCAAAUUUAAAAUCUGACUGGUCUCCAGUCCGAAUUGUAGUUUAAAGAAAUGUUUUCGGGGCCAAACCAGGAUUAAGUUCCUUGGGAUGGGGCAUCAUAGAAGGUGAGAAUCCUGUAUGGUUCUGGCUUUGGUCCUAUGUGAUACAUUUUCAAAGAGUCGGGUUGUUUGGGAAUGCAGCCCAAAAUGGGUGGUAAAUACCAUCUAAAGCUAAAUAUUGGUGAGAGACCGAUAGCGAACAAGUACCGUGAGGGAAAGAUGAAAAGAACUUUGAAAAGAGAGUUAAAAGUACGUGAAAUUGUUAAAAGGGAAACACUUGAAACCAGUCUUGAGGUUGGAAUCCCAACUGGCCUAACGGUCAGCAUAUGUUUUCAACUUCAGGUCAACAUCAGUUUCGGCUGAAGGAAAAAGCUUGAGGAAGGUGCACUAUCGACCGGUCUGGAUAUUUUUUGAUAGAUCUGAGUAAGAGCAUAUUUGUUAGGACCCGAAAGAUGGUGAACUAUGCCUGAAUAGGGUGAAGCCAGGGGAGACCCUGGUGGAGGCUCGUAGCGAUUCUGACGUGCAAAUCGAUCGUCAAAUUUGGGUAUAGGGGCGAAAGACUAAUCGAACCAUCUAGUAGCUGGUUCCCUC
rnacentral:misc_RNA from 1 species